GCUUCAUGGCGUACAUUAGGAAUAUCAAAUAUGUACUUGGUAAGGGAGAUACAUUUAGUAAAAAUUCUGUUUAGCUUUGGUUUUGACAUUUUAAUUUGGAUAGUAUGACUCUCUUAAAUGGUAAAUGUCUCCAGUCACCAGGACAGGACUGAUUCAGUGUAACGUGUCUGUUAAGGUUUUUUCUUUUUAAUUUGUUAGUUAAAUGUUCCUGGAGAAAAAAUCUUAAACUAAUUCUCAGGCACAGUUUAUAGUUUUUUACAGAUUUUUUUUUUUUGGUUUGGUCAGGCUGUUGCACGAAAUUAUUUAAAUGUAACUAAAACCAACUGUUAUUUUUUCGUGUAAAAUGUAAUCCAUUACCACAUUUCUUUACCUCUCUGUAAAAGGAGCCAUUACAGUUACAAGUUACUGAAAAGUGUAAUCCAAUUGCACUAAUGUGUUACAUGUAAUGCGUUACUCCCCAGUACUGCUGGAGGUACACAUAAUCUUUGUCACACAUAAUGGAGUGAAGUGUGUUUGAAUGAUCAUUCUUGUAAAAAUCAGAAUAGUGUAAGAAAGCACUGUAAUGCUCUAAUUAACUGAGAAUAAUUGUUACAGUAGUCAGUUACUUUAAUAUAGUAAAUAUAUACAGCAGCCCCCUGAAGAGUUAAUCUAAUUUUAUUUGAUUACAUCUGUGCUAUGCUAUUGGAAUAUGAGUUUUUAUUUUCAGUCUAUUUUCUAUGAUUGAGUACUCACAACAGAAUUAGUACUUCACUAAUUUCACUGCUGAGGGAAAAAGCCCAUCAUUUCUACCUGCCAAAUCCUAACUCAUAAUUGAUGACAGACUUAAUGGACACCAAGUACAUUUUUCUAUACGGAGUCUAGCUUGACUCUGCUGACCCAUCGGGUCCUGAGAGGUCGUUAGUCAGAAGUGAACAGAUGGUGGGUUUUGUGCCCCUAAUCUUAACCACGGAUAGUUUAUAGGCCAGUCUGGGGUGUCCACAUGAUUAAUGAAUUAACUGUAGGAGCUCUGCACUGCUUCUGGCACUAAAACUCCCCCCCCCCCCCCCCCCCGCUCUGAC